UAGAGAAAAGAAAUACCCAAGAAAGUCCAAGAAAAUCUAGAGGACCUACCCCAAAUCUAGCUAAUGGAGCCUGUGCUUGACUCUAUAUGCCUGCUGCUACCACCACAACUGACCACUUCAGUAAACACUACAGCCACAGAUUUAUUGGCCUUCUAGGGCCUCAUGACCUUCUGAAAUUUACAAGGUCACCUGGGCUCAUCCAUCUUGAGAAAUUUGCUUAUGGACUGGGGGUUGAACGCAAGUCACUAGAAGGUAGCAACAAAAUACUGCUACCUUCUACUCCACAUUAUAUGUGACUUAAAAAUAAAGCAGGCUUUGAUGAUCUCUCCUAACGGAAGCAAGCAACACUAAGAUAUCAACUAAUAGAGAAUCAAAGUAUCCUGUAGGAUAUUUGAAAAUAGUCAUACCUUCCCUUAGUCUUCUCUCUCUUAUCUGUAUCUCUUGUCUCUGAAUUCAUCAAUGUCCCUCCUAGAAUAUAACAUCUUUUAAAAAAA